UGGGGAAUAUUGCACAAUGGGGGGAACCCUGAUGCAGCAAUGCCGCGUGGGUGAAGAAGUACCCCGGUAUGUAAAGCCCUGUCAGCAGGGAAGAAAAUGACGGUACCUGACUAAGAAGCCCCGGCUAACUACGUGCCAGCAGCCGCGGUAAUACGUAGGGGGCGAGCGUUAUCCGGAUUUACUGGGUGUAAAGGGAGCGCAGGCGGCGUGGCAAGUCAGAUGUGAAAACCCGGGGCCCAACCCCGGGACUGCAUUUGAAACUGCCAUGCUGGAGUGCCGGAGAGGCAAGUGGAAUUCCUAGUGUAGCGGUGAAAUGCGUAGAUAUUAGGAGGAACACCAGUGGCGGAGGCGGCUUGCUGGACGGUAACUGACGCUGAGGCUCGAAAGCGUGGGGAGCAAA
rnacentral:rRNA from 1 species